CAAGGCUAAAACUCAAAGGAAUUGACGGGGGCCCGCACAAGCGGCGGAGCAUGCGGAUUAAUUCGAUGCAACGCGAAGAACCUUACCAAGGCUUGACAUGUUCCCGAUCGCCGUAGAGAUACGGUUUCCCCUUUGGGGCGGGUUCACAGGUGGUGCAUGGUUGUCGUCAGCUCGUGUCGUGAGAUGUUGGGUUAAGUCCCGCAACGAGCGCAACCCUCGUUCCAUGUUGCCAGCACGUAAUGGUGGGGACUCAUGGGAGACUGCCGGGGUCAACUCGGAGGAAGGUGAGGACGACGUCAAAUCAUCAUGCCCCUUAUGUCUUGGGCUUCACGCAUGCUACAAUGGCCGGUACAAUGGGUUGCGAUACUGUGAGGUGGAGCUAAUCCCAAAAAGCCGGUCUCAGUUCGGAUUGGGGUCUGCAACUCGACCCCAUGAAGUCGGAGUCGCUAGUAAUCGCAGAUCAGCAACGCUGCGGUGAAUACGUUCCCGGGCCUUGUACACACCGCCCGUCAAGUCACGAAAGUUGGUAACACCCGAAGCCGGUGGCCUAACCCUUGUGGGGGGAGCCGUCGAAGGUGGGACCAGCGAUUGGGACUAAGUCGUAACAAGGUAGCCGUACCGGAAGGUGCGGCUGGAUCACCUCCUUUCUAAGGAG
rnacentral:rRNA from 1 species